UUCUCUUCGAAACUUCGUCCGUUAUGCACGUGUCUGCAACAGUAUUAAAGUUUCGAAGUAAUACGAAACUUCUACCGAUGGCUGUGAUUGGUCGCGCCAUGUUGGCGUCCUCUCAUUUCGACCAAUCAGACACGUCCUUGUGUGAGCGAGUGCGUCGAUCUGUGACGCAGUGUAUCAUUUCUCUUCGAAACUUCGUCCGUUAUGCACGUGUCUGCAACAGUAUUAAAGUUUCGAAGUAAUACGAAACUUCUACCAAUGGCUGUGAUUGGUCGCGCCAUGUUGGCGUCCUCUCAUUUCGACCAAUCAGACACGUCCUUGUGUGAGCGAGUGCGUCGAUCUGUGACGCAGUGCAUCAUUUCUCUUCGACACUUCGUCCGUUAUGCACGUGUCUGCAACAGAAGUUCAUUCUAAUAAAACAUCAAAAGCCUGAUAUAAAACUAUUAAAUGAAUCUUCCUCAAAUUAAAGAAGUACAUUCUAAUAAAAGAUCAAAAGCCUCAUAUAAAAUUAUUAAAUGAAUCUUGCUCAAAUUAAAGAAGUACAUUAUAAUAAAACAUCAAAAGCCUCAUAUAAAACUAUUAAAUGAAUCUUCCUCAAAUUAAAGAAGUACAUUCGAAUAAAACAUCAGAAGCCUGAAAUGGAACAAUUAAAUGAAUCUUCGUCCAAUUAAAGUGCCUGUAUGUCAACAUCCUACCUACUACACUAGUCUACAUCAUCAAUCUACUUAGGAGACCAUCCACCGGGUGCUUUCUUCCAGCUACUUUUCAAUAGUCAGUCACCGGUUCGGUGAGCCCCAAGAGUUACAAAUUUUAUUCUUAUUUUAAGUGAGCAUAGUGACCCAUGAGUGGAUGUAUACUCAUGGAAAUAUAUUACAUAUUUUUCAUAUCUUUUUUCAUUUUUAUAUUGUUGUAUUUCUUAGUUCAGGCUAGGGUCUUCUUGUCUCUUUUUAAAAAAUAGUUUGUAGGAUAGAAGUCGGAUGACCCUCCGAUUUCACAAAUAAAAUACAACUUUUAAAAUAUUUUUUUAAUUAAAAGAUACUUAAAUUUUGAUAAUGUAUACAAAAUUUGUAUAUUUUAUAUGCAGUAAAUAUUACGUACAUUUGCUACAAUAGAUUGAUUAUACUAUAAUAUUUCAAUGCAGUAUAUUAUUAUAUUGUUGAUUUAAAUAUGUUUUAUGAGCAAGAAGACAUUUCGCGACGGUUAGAUUCUAACGUCGAAGUAACAUUUUCGAAUGUACAUUUGAUGUAACUUGGACAAUUUACUUCGACAUGCAAUCAACCGAGGAUGUAUUACAUGUAUAUUAAUUAUUAAAUUGCAUUUCCAACAGAUACAGAUCCAUUUAACAGAUACAUCAAGUUUUUUCUUAAAGUAGAGUGAUUUUUUUUUACACAUUUUUUUUUUCGCUAUGAUUAAAUACAACUUAAUUAUUUUAAUAAUUAUUUAAUUCAAUUGCAAUUUUUUAUUUUAAUUUUUAAUAAUCGGAGUCGUGUAUUACAAAUAGAAUCAUUUUUUAAUGUUUUAUUCUUCUAAUCAAUUUCAAUCUCAUCAGUUCAAAGAAAACGUAGUUCCAACGUAAGAAUGUUUUACAGAAUAAUUUAUUUUCAAAUUUAAAAUGUUUAUUAGCCCGUUAGCUUUACUAUGUAUUAAUCUAUCAUUUUAGCUUAGGAUUUUCAGCUUCACACGGUAGGUGUGUUAUUUCUUUGCCCGUAUUCAUUACUUAUUAGCCUGAGCUCAUCAACGAACCCAGGUGUGCGUUGUUGGGUAAGGGCGGUGGGUACGGUUUUAGAAUUAAGGAAUAUUGCAGCGAUUGACAAACGUAUUAGCGUAUCGUGCACGAUGUACGUUUCACAUGUGUGUGUGUGUGUUUAAAUUAGUGGAAUGUACGUCGAUUUUAUUAUUCAACUUAAAUAGUUUAUAUAAAUACAUACAGAAUAAAUAUGUUACAUAUCUAAUCAAUAUUUUCCAUAUGACAUACUGUAUGUAUAAUAUCAUACAAUCAAAUUACA